rnacentral:lncRNA from 1 species
AAAAAAAAAAAAAAACCGGGGAAUCUUUAGAAAGCACAGUGGAAACAGAUGUCUGUUUUUACAAGCCCAUCACUGCACAGAAUGCAAUAUGGGAGGGUUUCACUAAUGGUUAACCAUAACCACACUCCAGCGUGAGCCCAGCCACUAGGCAAUGUGCUGAUAAGGAUUCUAAGUGGUUUAUGUGGACUCCUCAUGACCUAUGACACACAUACGUUUACAGUGGAGUGGAACGAGGCAGGAGGGCUUCUCUUUGUCAUAGUCUACCAGCUCUGCAGAGGUGUCAGCUACAUCCGGAUUGGCUCAGGGAGCGGCCGUCAGAAGACUUACACGUGUUUAAUAACUGAGGCUUGAACAUGAAGUACAGGAACGUGCAUCUUAUUUUUGGAAGAUGGAGCCCCGUUGGGGGAAUUUGAGCAGUGGAGGGUCACAGCCAGGGUCUCGUCCAGGCUGAAGUGCUGUGGUGCGAUCUCGGCUCAUUGCAGCCUCGACCUCCUGUACCCAAGUGAUCCUCCCACCUCAGCCUCUCAAGUAGCUGGGACUACAGGUGUGUGCCACCACGCCGGACUGGUUUUAUUUUUUGUAGAGAUGGGGCCUCACAAUGCUGAUCUGACUGACUCGAACUCCUGAGCUCAAGCUAUCCUCCCCACUUGCCCUCCCAAAGUAUUGGGAUUACAGGUGUGAGCCACUGCACCUGGUUAUGCUUCUUUUUUAUUUUUUUUCUUUCUUUUUUUUUUUUUUU